UGGUGAAAUUGGCACAUGUCAAAGAGCUAACAAAGGGAUCUUCCUAAAAGGCAUCAUUGUGUGCCCAAAGGGUUUCUGGACUUGGACAUCAUGGUGGACUGGGAAAAUAUCUUUAAAAGCAGAACAACAUGCCCAGUGCAAAGCAUUGACUCCCUCAUCAAGAACUAAUGAGAGGGUCAAAUUAGAUCAAGACCCAAGUUGGCCAUAGACACAAGCCUGUAAGAUGCUUCUGGCCUU
rnacentral:lncRNA from 1 species